rnacentral:rRNA from 1 species
UACGUAGGGUGCAAGCGUUGUCCGGAAUUAUUGGGCGUAAAGAGCUCGUAGGCGGUUUGUUGCGUCGGCUGUGAAAUCCCGAGGCUCAACCUCGGGUCUGCAGUCGAUACGAGCAAACUAGAGUGUUGCAGGGGAGACUGGAAUUCCUGGUGUGGCGGUGAAAUGCGUAGAUAUCUGGAGGAACACCGGUGGCGAAGGCGGCAUCCUGGACCAAUAUUGACGCUGAGGAGCGAAAGCCAGGGGAGCAAACGGG